rnacentral:piRNA from 1 species
UGAAGGCUGGAGGCAAGAUCCUC